ensembl:lncRNA
ACAUUUGGUUCUAAACAAAGACACACACUAAUAUUUAGAUGUACACAAAGACACAUUAAUAUUUAGAUGUACACACAGACACACUAACAAUUAGAUGUACACACAGACACACUAUUAUUUGGUUCUAAACAAUGACACACACUAAUAUUUAGAUGUACACAAAGACACACUAACAAUUAGAUGUACACACAGACACACUAACAUUUAGAUGUACACACAGACACACUAACAAUUAGAUGUACACACAGACACACUAUCAUUUGGUUCUAAACAAUGACACACACUAAUAGUUAGAUGUACACAAAGACACAAUAACAAUUAGAUAUACACACAGACACACUGUCAUUUGGUUCUAAACAAAGACACACACUAAUAUUUAGAUGUACACACAGACACACUAACAUUUAGAUGUACACACAGACACACUAACAAUUACAUGUAUACACACACUAUCAUUUGGUUCUAAACAAUGACACACACUAACAUUUAGAUGUACACAAAGACACAUUAAUAUUUAGAUGUACACACAGACACACAAUUAGAUGUACACACGGACACAUCCUGAUGAUCCUCCUCACGUCUCUUCUCCUUGUCUGCAGACCAACAGGACGCCAUCAGGACGCCAUCAGGACGCCACGUCAUCGGGACGCUACGUCAUCGGGACACACUAACAAUUAGAUGUACACAAAGACAUAUUAAUAUUUAGAUGUACACACAGACACACUAACAAUUAGAUGUACACACAGACACACUAACAACAUUAACAUGUUAAUAACUUUUCUUCUUUUCUCUCUUCUCAGGAACUGCUUCAGAUGUUUUCCCAAUGAUUGCGUUAUUAUUAUUGUUAAAUAUGUUGUUUAUUAUUAUUGUUUAUAAAUAUCUGUUUAUUAUUUUAACAAUGAAAAUAAAUUUUAAUAAAAAUAAAACCAAAUGAAUCCGUCUUGUUUUCUUCAGACCAAAGAGAAUCACAUGUUCUUUAUUACUCGUUGACUUGAAUGAAGUGAAACAACAAUGAUCUUGAGUUAAUGAGCGUUUGUGUAUUUAAUGACACACAAAGGUUUCAGUCGACAUUUUAAGCCUGAUUUCAAUUGUUGACUCACUUCCUCCUGUAAUCAGACAUCAGGCGGAAGAAGAAGAGAAUAUUUAGUCAAUGAACAGGUUUCCGAUAUGGAACAUUUUGAUUGAAACAUGAAUGCUUCUAAAAAAUGAAGUCAGGCAACUCAAAGCACAAACAAGUUCAAUUCUCUACAAAUAAAGCAAAUUCAAACCCCAAGUUCAUCGGGACGUGUGAGCGUCUCUAAUGACGCAGUCAAGUGCAACUCCAGAGUUACGAAUGUCUGUUCGUUCUCUCUGCUGCUGGGCGACAGACGACAUCUUCUCUCUCACGCUGUCAAUCAGAAACUCAAUGAACCGCCACGCUGCAGCAUGCGAGCUGCAGCCCUUCAACAUUCCUACAGUUUAGAUAGAUGAAUAAAUAAAUAUGACAAAAAACGGAUCAGACAAAUGUGUGUUAACUGCUCCCAAAAUGACAAAUUCUAAAUAUUCUAAUAGGAUAAUUUACUUACUCCAAUGUUAAUGGUAACUUGAUCUCAACCAUCUUUAGUGACUAAAAUCAGCCAACGAAUCAGAAGGUUUGUUCUCGGGGUUGAUGUUCAAGACAAUCAUUAACACAUCUAGUUGUCCUUUUUUAUUUGUUAUGUUCUAUUACUAAAUACUAAAUUCAUGUAUUAAUUAAUAUGUUUUACCGUUGAGGGGGCAUGAAGUUAAAUGGUUAGUCACCAUACAAGUAAAAAUGAUUAUAUAGUGAUAAACUAUAUACGUGGCCAUAUAUUGUGGCGACCCCAGCUGUGGAGGCAGCAGCCUCCCAGUGGGAUUUAGGUGUUUGGUGAUUGAAGGCACCUGGUCCCGGUGCCAUGACAUUAGAAAACUCUCUCUCUCUCUCUUCAGCAGACAUAUUACACUACGGAUAAUACUGACGUUCACAUCCCAUCUGUAAUGUUUGUUGAUUUUUCGUUUCGAUCUUUAUUUAUUAUGUUAAAUAAAGAACAUGUUAAACCUCUUGAAACAGUGCAACUCCGAUCCUGUCAUGGCCCAAAGAGCCAGGUCGUGACAAAUGGGGGACUUGUCCAGUUGUGGUCAGUGAUUUGUUUGAUGGUGUGUAGAUUUUGUGCGACACGUGUCUUUGUUUACGUGUUGAUCAGCUGUGAGGGGUUGGUGUUUGGUUUGGUGGUGAUCGCCGGUUUGUCUCCGUGUUGCGGGAAGUUUGGGAGUCGUUCUGGAUUUCACCUCCGGUGAAGCUUCGUCUCCGCGGCGUUGUCCCUACUGAGGCUUUGUCCCCCCUUGGACACGUUGUCUCGCUGGCUGUGUAGGGCUGCGUGCGGUCCGGUGCUUUGCGUCCCCGGUUCACACCGUGCGCCAGAUCAGCUCCUUUAAACAUUCACCACGCCUGUGUUUUAACCAGCACUGUGUCCCUGUGAAUUGUUGAAUGGAUGAUUAUCUUAUUGUAAUUGUGUAUAUUUGUUUUUCUUUUAUUAUAACUCUCCACUAAUUUGUUUUUGUCUUUUUUUAGUUGCUGGAGGCUAGUGGUGCUGGUGGCCAGGUGGUGGUGGCCUACCCCCUUUGUUUGCUGUGUCCUGGGAAGCGGGAUCCUCACUACGUCGGGUGGUUUUGAGUUUGUGCUUAAUUUGGUGGGUCCCCCCCCACACCCCCCUUACACCUAGCCCUGUCCAUCCACUCGGCUCCAGCCCUCUAAUUGAUUUUCUUUUGGGAUGAAUGAAAUUUCCCUCAUUAUAAAACUAUUUAAAAUAAAGCUGUAUUUUUCUAAACCGUGAACUGCGUCUCUUGCCUCAACGAGUAAACUUACCUGUGUGCCUUUUGCUUCCCAGAUUACUUCUCGGGGUGAAAUUCCCCGGGUGGCGUUGUUGGUUUCUGUAUUUGGUUUAAUUUCCCUUUUACACCCUAUCCUCGCCACAGCCUCUUUAGUGGAAAGUGGCGUUUUGAGGUCGGAGGAGUGUUUGUCGGACGUGGCAGCUGUGGAAACAUCUGUCUGCACCCACGUCGGGGCUGACUUUUGAGCAGCUGAUGUUGCAGUUUGAGCAGGAGAGAAUCCGCUUGAACGUGGAAACGGAGAAGCAAAUUCAGAUAGAAAAAUGAAACUAGACUUGCAGCAGUAUAAAUUGAGCUUUUAGUGUCCUGAGUCUGUGCGGGGUGUGUCCGAUGUUGGCGCUAAUUUGCGUGUAAUGCCUAGAUUCAAUGAGAAGGAUCCUGAGGUUUUUCACUUUGUUUGAGCGUGUUGCAGAUGCAAUAAAUUGGGCUGACGCUUCAGUGCUUUCUCGGUUCCUCGACGGCGGAUCGGCGCUCGGACCGUCUCGUAGUUUGAACCAGAUGUCAAUCAUCAGGAUAAUCGUUUUACGUCAGAAGGCGGAUUUUUUAACAGUAUACCGGCAAAUAAACUUAAAGGAAGGUCGUAUUUUUUCCCCCGCUGGCGACCAGGAGGUGAUCAUUAACACAUAUGAGGAGAUAAUGUGUUAAUUUGAAUCAUUUAUGUCGGAUGAAUUGAACGUAUUAUACAUAUUUCACGUUGUUCAUUCUGUACGUCCAUCGCAGUGUGUCCGUCAGGGAGGAUCGUCCUGUGUCUCUCUAAUGGUUUCUUCCCUUUAUUCUUCCCAUCUAAUACUUUUUCAUUGUUCGGGGAGUUUUUCCUGUGCCGAUGUGUGGGUUUCUGGACAGAGGAUGUCACAUGUGUACACACUGUAAAGACCUCUGAGGAUAAUUUGCGAUAUUGUGCGAUACAAAAUAAAUUAAAUGAAUCAUAUAAUCAUGGCAAAAACAGACUCUAAAACCGACACGCGAGACUUUUUGAACCAUGAAUUGAAACAAGUGCGUCGACGCAACGACGCAGACGCAGAAGCGCCAGCCAAGUGACUAUUUCUGUCAUAAACAAUACCAUAAUUACAGCAGUAGAUGGUGCUGGCACACACGUUUUAUCUUGCGCUCAAGGUCAAGAUGGUGUCACAAAUUCACACACUUACUGUAGACCAAAAUGGUCUAUAUGAACCCUGCUUUAUGGUCAGAUAAUGUUUGGUCUGGUCGGGGUGGACCAGGGCAAUGCGUUUAAUAAUCUGAUACUCUAUCUAGCCUGCUUGUGUCGGCCACUCACUUGGUGCCGUUACGAGGCAGCAUCCCUGAGAUAAAAAGCAAGCUGAUACCCAUCAGCUGGAGCCCCUCUUAUCUGGCACAAGGCCAGUGUAUUCAACCACUAAAUAAACGCCCAAAAAUCUCCAAUUAAUCCAGUUUAAGAUUGCGGUCAAAGUGUGACGUUCAUGACAUUUAUAUUUUAUAAAAAGAAAAUUCCUCCAUCUUGUAAGCUGCACUUUCAGCUCAACGCUGUCAAUAAAGUGUGUGCUUUGGCAGCGUGCCUGGCUUGAAAAACGAAAUAGCCUUCGCCUGACCUUAUCCUACUGUACUGUGGUCCAUAUGACGGGGCCGCGGGUUGAAUGAGAUCAUCCCUUAAGAAACUUGCUAUUUUGCAGCAUGUGAAUCCAAUUUAAUUUUACUGGAGCCCCUUUAAUCGGCCCGUUUCACACGUCGGGACUGUAAAUAUGACACAUCAUGCAACCUGCUUUUAAGAGCAUUAAAUUACAACGGAGAGGGUUUGGUGCGAUCAACUCGGCUCCAGACCGAGCCGAAGUGACGGCAGCUCCUUGUAAACCGAUUAUGGCACCGAGGAGCCACGUUACAGCUGCCGUGGAUCUGCCCGUAUCACUGCCCAUGUCUGGUCUGCUUAGAAAGUGCUCUGAUUGAUUGAUUGUGUGUUGGCAUUCCGGUGCCGUGCCAGCUGCAAGUCGCGCACAAUGGUGAGAUUGUGCCUGGGGCUCCCCAAAAGACAGCUGCCCGGGGCUGCCCCCCGGAGCCCCGAGAGAUUACAGGCCACAGAUGGACACCCACUACAAAGGAGAGAUUACGGUGUUAGGUUUUGUACCUUGUAAAAUCAUCAUCCCUCAAAAAGUGAAACUUUAUAAUUACUUGAUUUGACAAUCGCCUAAAAUACAGUGCUGCCUGUUCACAAGACCCGUGUUCCUUAUCUCACCUGUUGCAACAACAGGCAUGUAAAUGAUCCCGCAUGAAUCCUGACAGUGAACUGUAGAUCUCAAAAGUUGUCUACUUUGCGGUCCUUUCUCGUACCAUUGCACAGUUGGGAGUUGGAUGACGUUAUUGCCUGGACGUGGACUCAGGAAUUUGUGGAAAUGGCUGGAAGAAAGUUUAUUUAAAUGAUCACAUGUCUGGGACACAGGAUGCUAUUUGGGGUAAUUGUUUUGUUUUUGAGCUAGUGUAUGCAAACCUCAUGUUGUGUAAUGAUAUGGGAUAUAAUAUAACUAAUGAUACAGUGAGGCACCCGCACGUUCUCCUGCUGGACUGUGUGACUGGCCCAAGUUUAUAAUAUUGUAAAUAGUCCUAUUGACCAAAAAAGAGAAAAGCAGUGUAGCUUGUUUGUUCCUGAAAAUGACAAUUACAACUACCAUUAUUUAGUUGUUCUAGUUGCUGAUAAUCUGAUAAACAUUGGGAGAUUUGUCUCCUGCCCGUCUUCUCUCAACAGAAGGAAUAUUUAAAGGAGGAAAUAUUGCAAAAAGUGAGAUCCCAGCAAAAGCAGUACGAGUGCAGCGCCACUCGGCCUGUGUGGCCUAAAAGGUCGGGCACGCCAUCCCACCUGUCAGCAUUCGUAACAAGUUGCGUCACCCGUCCGACCCCGCUGAGCCACUCUUUUGACACAUUUGCUUGGUGGUGUGUUUUACAAACUUUAUUACCGACACAUGUGGCGUCUGUCUGUUGUUACGCCUUGACGGAGGGAACAGGAGUUGCCCAACUGCACCAUAGCACAUAGCGAGUCAACAACAACUGCUGAUCCAACUGUUGUUGGGUAUUUUUGGUCUAAACCCAAUGAUGGAAGAGCUUUGCAACGCGUUGUGGCAGAGGCAAACACUUAGAAAUGGCUCAUUUGGUUAACCUUUUUUCUUCAGCGUAGCUCAUAAAAAUCCAAAGUGUGUUGUUACCAUGAACAGUAAAAACAAUUCCACGCAAAGUAAACCAAUAAAUGGAAGGGAAGGGAAAGACUUGUUUGCUUGCGUUGACAUCAAAAAGUACCGUAAUAGUUCAGUAAAGUUUGGGCCUUAUUUUUACCUGCUUCCCUGUUGUGUUCCAACGCCGCCACUAAAAAGUAGAUGAUCACGAGCAGAGCUUUUCCCCGGAUGUUUGACGUGCUGAUUAGGCUUCCUCCAUAGCUGCAUUAGGUCAACAGCGUAAAGGAGUCCAGGAUGAUGUCAUAGAGCAUGAUCUAACUCUGUGGCCAGAUGAUUGAAUCAUACGUUUUCCUUUAAUUUGGGGGUUAUUAAAUGAACAGAACUCCUCUCUGUGAGUUUCUAAAGAAGAAGAUUGUUAUUCGCCUUUGGCCAUAUUUUCGCUUGUGGUUCAUCUGAAUUAGGAAUGAAAUUAGUUCUUUGUAGCAGCUUUUUAUUAGUUAGGCCAUGUUUCUGAUUAGCAAUUAACCGACAAGCCAUACUUUAUGAGCAAAGUCAUGUGGCUGAGCAGGGAGGCUGUUUAUUGGGCAAAGCUCCAAAUCCUAAACAGAUGAGCGAUUUAAUGGAGUAUUAUCAUUUCCACUAUAGCCAUAAAAACAUGCAGAAAUGCUCAGACCACAGUUAAGAAUGGCGCGUGUCGGCACAAAGCCCGUUUUAGGCAUCUACGCGGUUGAUUGUUUGCUAGGCGUCAUUGAAACUGAAACUCUGCGUCUUGUUUUCUUGGACUUUUUUAAGUUAAUAGACCAAGCACUAGGUUAUUUAGUUUGUUUACAGUUUGUUGUGAUUUAGUGUGGAUGUGGCUUGCUCACAUCCACGAAUGAAACCAUAUUAAGGGUAAGAAAUGCAUCCUCUGAGUCCAUAAUCUCCCCAUGAGGCUAAAUAGGUUGUUUUCCCUGCAUGUUCAUCCACCUCUGUACAUUCAAGUCUCCCACAUCUGGUUGUUUUCUUGUAAUAUUAUGUUAUUGAUGCAGUUCAUCAACAAUGAAUAUAAUAAUUACCACCACACAUCUUGGUCUUACUGGUCUUUCAGACUGGGCCAGCAGCAAUAACAUUUCCAUCACUUGAAUGAUGUGGUUCGCGUUCUGUUCCGUCCCAAAGAGCGCCCACCCACCCACAGCCCCCACAAAGAUGGGACAGUUGCUUGGUUAAUGCACAGCACCUGUUUUAAAGAAAACCCCAAUUGUUAUCACACGCUCUAUUGUAAAGCCUUGCCACCUGCUGCUAUCGUCACCCUAUUUGAUGUUUGAAUAAAGUCAAGUUUUGUGCUCCGUGAUCUCUACAUGGAUACAUCUUCAUCCGGGAAUGUGCAGGACAUUAUUUGGCCACAUGUUGUCCACAAAUCAUGUGCUUUUCACAAUGUAGCAUGUGAGCAACAAACUAUGCCACAAAAGGCAGAAGUCUGGGUUAUUCUACUAGUGAAUAGGACCUUGUUAGCACCAAUACCCUGCGAUGGGGACAAUUUCUGCUUUGUCACUGGUUCUGCAGUUAUGUGACGUGUUAUUUAAAAUUUAAAUGUGCACAUUCUUUUGUUUGUUUUUUCAAAACCACUAAGUGGGCCUCCAAGUUUCUUCUUUUGGUGGCAACUCAGAUGACUACGAGUGAGUGAAGUUUCCAAAAGCAUAAAAUCUCUGCUUGAAAUUCCAAUUUCCUUUCUAUGUGUUGCAAAUUGCCGUCCCACUCUGGAGGGAAACAACGCUCGGCUCUCGUUGUAAAAGUAAACCGGCCGACGUGAGUGCGCUUGUUAUAGCGUCGGCUGCAUUUCAGCAUCAACUAGCUGUUGCUCAGACUGUCCCCGAUGAGGUCAUCCGUUCCACUAACAGGAGGUGACACGAGUGAGGCAAACAAUAACGCAGAACUCUCAGGUGGGUCCAGCUUGUUACGUAAGGCCCUUGAGGCCAGUUGUAUGUCAAAGCAGAACACAGACCGAAAAAAAAAAGAAAUGUGCCUGUCCAGUAUUGAAUCCAGACUCUGUGAGGUGAGGGAUGAUGAUGUCCUCACAGUGUGAUAAAAUGAAGGGGGGUGGAUGCGUUUCAAGAAUGCGUCAGAACAUUUAUCAAAGUUUGUACAAUUUGUUUGCGUACGUUUUGAUGUUUUCUUACUUACCUCUAAUUUGAAAAGUAAAGGACAAAAGAAACAGAAAAAUUGCCACAACUAAAACAAUAGCAGUUAUCUUUAACGGAAUGUUGGUGUUCAAGAAUGACUCAAGACGCACCAUGCCUUGCAAAUAUAUAAUGAAACGUUUUGUUUUCUUCUGCUGUUUCUCUUGUAAAGUUUAGAGGCACAUUGUGACAAUUACAGAGCAGACCCAUCCAUUAUCGGGACAUGUAAAUAUGUAGGUUCCUCUCUUCCUUGAUCCUAAUUGUCCUGCAUUAGAAAUGUUUAACAAGCCUUUCCACUUGGCAACACUUGGCGAUUCAGAUGUCAAACACACGGGCAAGCAAUAUACUCCAGGCCGGCUGCAGUGCAUGAUGAAAGUUCCUGCAGCCCAUAGUGUUUAAUAAAUCACACCGUCGGGUCAACAGAGCCUGCAAAUAAGGGCUUGAAGGCACCAAACCUGCUGCUGGAAUGACAUCAGAGGUCAAAUGUUAAGCCUCCCCCUCAAGGUGAUUGAUACUGUUGGAGGGGGCAAGAAUAAGGUACGCCUUUUUUGUUAUUCAACCUAUAACAUGGGAAAAUUGCUUCCUGCUGCCGGAGGAGGCUUGUGGAGCUAUGAUUGAGCGGCCUCAUCGCGCCGUUUAGCCUGACUGCCACCCGAGGGUGGCUUCAAAUUGCACUCAAGAGAAAGGUGCACUAAAGGCCUGUGUGACACAGUGUGUCCCUGCAUACUGUGCCUCCAGCGCUGUAACACUGAUCUGCAGCACUUUAUAGCUUCCUUUUCAAUUACAGAAAUGUAUGCACCUUUAAAUAACUUUGAGCUUUUGGCUAAACUUUGAAGCCCCGCUGACCAUAUCACUAGCACAUAUGUAUGCUUAUAUUUGUUACUUUGCUUAAACACAACGGGCAUCUGAGGCUGAAAUACAUUGUUUUUCAAGGUAUUUGGUCAUUGCAUUUACGACGUGAUGUUGGUGCCAGAUAAAGUUAUGGGAUGCCAAAUUUACAACAACUGAUACUCAGAGGGGCAUGAACUUAAGCAAAAAAGUGUGUCAACCUUGCAAUGGUGGUAGUAGGGGAAACAAAAUCAUGGGAUCACCUAAAUCAAUUGGGUCCCCCCACUGAGGACCAUGCAUCCUAAUUGCACCUGUUGUUGUUGUUGUUGUUGAGAUAUAUCUGUCAGAACCAUCACUGCCAUCCUUGAAGACGUGCCGUCAGCGUGUAUUCUUUAAAUUCCAAAACUAGAAGUGAAGGGAGACAAGUCAGCCAUUCCCAGUGACCCUUGUACUUGUUGAGGACAAACGCUCCCACGGAUGAAAAUCUGUCACCACCUGGCCUGGAAACACAAACAGAACAAAUAUUACAGGUUGAGUGUUUACAUUGAGCAAUGCUGCAGAAGGAGGCCAGGGCUGUCAGUGCAGCACUGUUAUAACAAGCGACUCCGCUUUUAGUUUUUUGGACCACCGCCCGCCGCGGUUUGAGAGACGAAGAAUACACACGUCAUGGCAGACGGUUGGGAUGCAUUGUCUC